CAUCGUUACAUUUUUGUAUAACACAAGAGUUUGUCUAUCCUCUCUCUUUCUCUCUCCUAUGGCCAGUUCUGUGGCUGUAGCAAGGCAUUGCCUUGGUCGUUUCAUGGACUCAGAAUCAGCCAAUUAUGGCAUAUCUACCUUACAGAUUUCUAGCAGGCCUUCCAAUUAUAUUCGAUUUCCUCAUAGAAGGUAUCAAUUAUGUGUUCUGUCCAUGAAUGGCUGCAAAGGAGACCCCCAUUUCCCUCUUGGCACCAAUGAAACACGUACUCUACCUUCAGUUCCUUCGCAUGCAGUGGCUCUGGACAAGCUCAGCUCUGCCAUUUCAGAUUUGAAACACCACCCACCUCCUUUCUCCUCUGGAAUUAUACGUCUUCAGGUGCCAAUCCAGCAGCAAAUCGAUGCCAUUGAUUGGCUCCAUGCCCAAGACAAGCUUCUUCCUCGAUGUUUUUUCUCUGGUCGAAGCCGAAACGAAAGUUACAAUCUUUUUAUUGAAAAUAGCAAAAGCAACGGAAAUGGUUACAACUCUAAUUUGGUCAGCGUUGCCGGAGUGGGCUCCGCUGUCUUUUUCAGACAUCUUCAUCCUUUUUCAUAUACCGACUGGAAAUCCAUAAAGAGGUUUCUCUCUACAGAAUGCCCUCUGAUCCGUGCUUAUGGGGCUAUCCGUUUUGAUGCGAGAACUAACAUAUCAUCUGAAUGGGAGCCUUUUGGUUCAUUUUACUUUAUGGUUCCUCAGGUUGAGUUUGAUGAGUUUGAAGAUAAGUCGAUACUUGCUACAACUGUUGCAUGGGACGAUGCUCUUUCGUGGCCAUGGGUAAAGGCAAUCAGUGAAAUUCAAGCUAGGAUAUCUCAGGUCUCUUCAAUUGUUAUAAAGUUAUCAAAAGAAGUUCCUAAGACAUUUGUAUUCAGUAGCAAACACACCCCAAGCAAGGAAUAUUGGGAUCUUGCUGUUAACCGAGCUUUAAAGAAAAUUAGUAGUGACUCAGCACUUACUAAGGUUGUACUUGCCAGAAGCAGCAGAGUAGUGACUACUAGUGAUGUUGAUCCUGUAACAUUAUUAGCCUGCUUACAGGUUGAAGGUAAAAAUGCUUAUCAGUUUUGUCUGCAGCCACCUAAUGCACCAGCUUUUAUUGGAAACACGCCAGAGCAACUAUUUCGCAGAAAAUGGCUAGGCGUUGAGAGCGACGCUCUGGCUGCAACUUGUGCCAGAGGUGAUACAAUUACUGAAGAUCUUCAAAUAGAACUUGACUUACUCUCCAGUCCCAAAUACCACCUUGAGUUUUCUAUUGUGCGAGAAAGUAUAAGACAAAAGCUGGAGGAUGUUUGCUAUUCUGUAAUAGUUGAACCUAAGAAAGCAGUGAGAAAACUACCAAGAGUUCAACAUUUAUAUGCCAAACUGGUUGGCAAGUUAAGAAGAGAGGAUGAUGAAUUUGGAAUUCUAUCUUCUCUUCACCCAACUCCAGCUGUGUGUGGAUUUCCAACAGAGGAUGCACGGCUUUUAAUUGCUGAAACUGAAGUAUUUGACCGAGGAAUGUAUGCCGGCCCUGUUGGUUGGUUUGGAGGAGGAGAGAGUGAAUUUGCAGUUGGCAUCAGGUCAGCUUUAGUUGAAAAGGGUGUUGGUGCACUGAUCUAUGCUGGAACAGGCAUUGUGGAAGGUAGUGAUGCGUCACAAGAGUGGAAAGAGUUGGAUCUUAAAGUUUCUCAGUACACCAAGUUGCUUAAACUUGAAGUUUCUCUAAGAGAAAAAGUUACUAGUUUAGAGGACCACUAGUUAUGAAAGCCCUGAAUUAGCUGGUUAUGGAGGAAUGUUUAAAAAUGGUCAGAUUUUUGUGAAAAGGAGCUUUUACAUACCAUCUAUAAUCUGUCAGAUUAGCUCUUGAAGAAAUCUCAUUUUCCUUUUGGAUUGAAUGUGACUCAUCUUAUGCUAUUCUUCUUUUCAACAAUAAAGAAGACAUCCCUUGGUGUUAAGGAAUCUACCCAUUGUUCUUUCAGGAUGUCAAUCAAACAGAGUUUCCUAACUGUUCCGAUGAAAAAGAUCAAUGUCUGAUUACAUGAGUUAGAAAGGGUGCUGUGCAUGUAUCAAAAGUUUCCAGUGCUGUGCAUAAAAUAAAAAAUUCUGUAACUGAUGUAGAUAAACAAAAUACACAAGAAAGCUUCCAGUGUAUUGAUUUUAAGAGAUUUUUGUUCCUGUAUUGGAUAGGCGUGCAGACAAAAUUUCCAAGUAUGCCAUUCCUGCAUCUGUUUUUAUUGUGGUUGUGUUAAACUCCUACAGCAUCUGUCAUUGCUGAAGUUAAGAGCACCUGAAAAGCGAGUGAGCCUCGUCACAAAUGUCCCAGGCUUUGCAGUGAUCACGUCUUUCUUAGGCACUUUCUUAACUGUAUUACCGGAUUCAACAAAGAAUGCUCCAUUCAUCAAGAGAUCACCCUCCGACCUCCAAUUCCAUGUCUUCCACACACUCUCAGAGAACUCUGUGCAUUUCGCCUUGAAGGAAUCGACCGCACAAGAUUGAAGGCCACUCGAAAGGUGUGGGAAAAAUAUUCUUUGGAUGAUUUUUUACUCUGUAUUUAGGGUUUUGAGUAUUUUGGAAAGUUAUUGAUGUUUUCUUGGUGUGCAAUCUUCAAGUUUUGAUUUUUGACAGUCUUGUACUAGAAAUAAGACUUUGAUUGUAAGGUUUGAUUUUUUUUUUCCUGUUAGGGUUUUCUAUUUGGUCACUGUUAUAUUGUUGUUGGUUGGUGUGGGUUCUAAUGAAAUUUUAAGUCAUUGAUGGAGUAAUGUGUUUGUUUUUUGAUAAA